rnacentral:lncRNA from 1 species
GAGGGAGGGAGGCAAGGGAGGGCAGAACAGGGGAAGCCUCCACUCUGACGACCUCUGUAGCCUUCCAGCUGGUGGAAGGGGCGGGUCUAAAGAUUUUAACUGAUAGUAGUAUAGGUUAGAUACAGCGCAGGUGAUAAAUAGCUAUUGACCGGAUGAGACAGGUCAGGAUAACCCGGCUCUGGAUCUGUAUCAUUCCAACUCUCCCCAACCAGGACGUUCUAAAUCGGCAGCCAGUUCACAGAAACACAACUCUAUGUGGCCUUUCCGGGGAACUUCAGUCCAGAUCAGCCAGGCCUGGUACCAAUAACAGCAAUUACAUCUUAUAGCUCCGGGCCUUUUCUCUCCGCUUUCCCAAGUUUGAGCCCUUCAAAAAUCUCUGCAGACCGCGAAAAUUAACUCGUCUUUUAACAACUCUGCUUGGCUGAAGGCACCGAACAGGACUGCGUGCAUCGCAAAGAAAAAAUCCCGCAAAUAACACGUGGCAACGACAACUAACCCCGAGAGUCAGUUGCAUCAGUGACGCGGAGAGGCCGGGAGACGUUGACAGCGACACAGCCGGAACUCGAGCUGAAGUUUGUCUUUCUGCGGGGCAGACA